GACGAACGCUGGCGGCGUGCCUAACACAUGCAAGUCGAGCGAGGAACUUCGGUUCCUAGCGGCGGACGGGUGAGUAACACGUGGGUAACCUGCCUCAUAGAGGGGGAUAGCCUCCCGAAAGGGAGAUUAAUACCGCAUAACGUUUCUUUAUCGCAUGAUAGAGAAAUCAAAAGAGCCUUUUAGGUUCUGCUAUGAGAUGGACCCGCGGCGCAUUAGCUAGUUGGUGAGGUAAAGGCUCACCAAGGCAACGAUGCGUAGCCGACCUGAGAGGGUGAUCGGCCACAUUGGACUGAGACACGGCCCAGACUCCUACGGGGGGCAGCAGUGAGGAAUCUUCCGCAAUGGACGAAAGUCUGACGGAGCAACGCCGCGUGAGUGAAGAAGGUUUUCGGAUUGUAAAGCUCUGUCUUCAGGGGCGAACGUAUGGUAGGUAAAUAAUCUACGAUAAUGACGGUACCUGAGGAGGAAGCCACGGCUAACUAC
rnacentral:rRNA from 1 species